rnacentral:rRNA from 1 species
UACGAAGGGGGCUAGCGUUGCUCGGAAUCACUGGGCGUAAAGGGCGCGUAGGCGGCCUGAUAAGUAGGGGGUGAAAUCCUGCGGCUUAACCGCAGGGCUGCCUUCUAAACUGUCGGGCUUGAGCACAGUAGAGGCAGGUGGAAUUCCCGGUGUAGCGGUGGAAUGCGUAGAGAUCGGGAAGAACAUCAGUGGCGAAGGCGGCCUGCUGGGCUGUUGCUGACGCUGAGGCGCGACAGCGUGGGGAGCAAACAGG